rnacentral:rRNA from 1 species
GACGAACGCUGGCGGCGUGCUUAACACAUGCAAGUCGAGCGGUAAGGCCCUUUCGGGGGUACACGAGCGGCGAACGGGUGAGUAACACGUGGGUGACCUGCCCUUAGCUCUGGGAUAAGCCUGGGAAACUGGGUCUAAUACCGGAUAUGACUCCAUGACGCAUGUUGUGGGGUGGAAAGCCUUGUGCGGCUAGGGAUGGGCCCGCGGCCUAUCAGCUUGUUGGUGGGGUGAUGGCCUACCAAGGCGACGACGGGUAGCCGGCCUGAGAGGGCGACCGGCCACACUGGGACUGAGACACGGCCAGACUCCUACGGGAGGCAGCAGUGGGAAUCUUGCGCAAUGGGCGAAAGCCUGACGCAGCGACGCCGCGUGAGGAUGACGGCCU